rnacentral:lncRNA from 1 species
AUGGAGGAGGGGGGCGGGGUGUGUCACUGUGUCAAAAUAAGAGUUUCCACACAGAGUCUGUGUUCCUGCCUCAAACUCUUGGUCUGGCCUGAGCCACCACGGACCAACGGCCAUUCUCUUGCACUUCCCCUUCACUCUCCCAAGGCUUCAGUUCCCUGCUGUUCGCUAGCUGUCAGGGGCAGAGGACCCUCCUUUUGCUGUGUCCUCAGAAGGUCACACUGUGUUACAAUGCCUGCACAUCACUCACCUCCACUCAUGGCAAAAGCAUUUUAUUAUCUCUCAGCAUCACAAAAAGGGGAUCCCAGAAAACUCUGA